rfam:Lactobacillus amylolyticus DSM 11664 contig00004, whole genome shotgun sequence.
UCAAAUCGAAGAGGCGCAACCGACAUGAUUAAGAGUGUAAGUCAGGCACGACGAUGAUCACUGUGAAAGGGGAGGCUGCCGAAGCAGUAACUGAUGCCAAAGCUACUAGCUGGGUCGUAACUAAAGAAGUUGCGGACUGUCGCGAAAAGAAACGAAGAGGUUCGCGGAGCGCUAUCGACUGUU